GUCAUUGUGUUCUUUGAAUUUUUAUUUAAAUUUCUGACUUCUUUGGAUCAUCACAAGAUAUAUAUUCUAAUAAAAACGAAAAUAUAACUCCAUUUGGAAAUACUUGAACACAUCAUAUAUCAUAAUGAAGUAACACAAAGAAACUUUCUUAAACACAGGCUUUCUCUCUAAAGCUUAAAUGUGAGGCAGACAGACAUCUGAUUUUAAAACAGAUGGAACCCUAGAACAUGUCCAGGAUACAUAAAAUUGAAUUUUGUGUUAUAUUUUGUGUCUGAGACAGCUAACAAUAUAAAUCGAUGACUAGGGUUUCUGUACGAGUUGUUUUUUCCCAUCUUCUUUUUCUAACAUCCAAAUUUUAGUUAUUUCUUUUGUAAUUCUAUGGAUGAACAUUCUAGAAUGUAUGAUUUUUUUCAGUUAGACACACAUAUAUAGUUUUAUUUUCUA
rnacentral:lncRNA from 1 species